UCCCUGGUGGCUCAGACGGUAAAGCGUCUGCCUAUAAUGCAGGAGACCCAGGUUCAGUCCCUGGGUUGGGGA
rnacentral:tRNA from 1 species